rnacentral:misc_RNA from 1 species
ACGAUUUCGAAAUGUCGCCUUCUGUGCUGGCUCAUUCGCAUGUGCACGAUGGUGACUUUCAUCCAACUCCCUUAUGUGAACCUUUGGCCUCAACCAGUUUCGGCUGGCAGAGGAUUUUACACAACCUCGAAUGUAAUGAAAAUACCUUUUGUGCAUAAGCACUAAUGUA